AACGAACGCUGGCGGCAUGCUUAACACAUGCAAGUCGAACGGAACCUCCGUGCUUUUUUGCGCUCCUGGGGUGGACGCGGGGGGAGUAGCACGUGAGUAACGUACCCUUCACUUUGGGGUGAGUUCAUGAAGGUGAAGGUAAUACGACAUAGGAUCUCCCGCUGCAGGGUGGGGGUUGGAUAGUUUCGGCAGUUGGGGAUGGACUGGCGGCUUAUCAGCUUGGUGGUUGGGUAGUGGCUGAGCAAGGCUAGGCAGGGUAGCCGGCCUGGGAGGGUGACCUGCCACAUUGGGACUGAGAUACGGCCCAGACUACUACGGGAGGCAGGGGUGGGGAAUAUUGUACAAUGGGCGGAAGCCGGAUGCAGCAACGCCGCGUGGGGGAUGACGGCAUGCGGGUAGUAAAGCGCAGCAGCCUGUGACGAAGCGUGAGUGACGGUACCGGGUAAAGAAGCACCGGCUAACUACGUG
rnacentral:rRNA from 1 species